rnacentral:rRNA from 1 species
UGAUCAGGCACGAAGGGCGCACGGCGGAUGUCUUGGCGUCGAGAGGCGAUGAAGGACGCGAAAACCUGCGAUAAGCCCUAGGGAGCCGGUAAAUAGGCAGAGAUCUAGGGAUUUCCGAAUGGGGCAACCCACCCGCAAGGGUAUCUGGCACUGAAUGCAUAGGUGUCAGAAGCGAACGUGGAGAAGUGAAACAUCUCAGUACCCACAGGAAAAGAAAGCAACAGCGAUUCCGCAAGUAGCGGCGAGCGAACGCGGAUGAACCAAUUGUGUGAGUGAAGCAGCUGGAAAGCUGCGCUUCAAAAGGUGACAGCCCUGUAACCACACGUUGGGGAUGCCCAUGAGUAAACUCGGGCUCGGGAAACCCGGGUUGAACACGGGGGGUCCACCCUCCAAGGCUAAAUACUCCUCGACGACCGAUAGCGAACCAGUAAGGCGACUGAACGAUGAAAACUACCGCGACGAGCGGGGUGAAAGAGUAGCUGAAACCGUGCGCUUACAAGCGGUCGGAGCCUCCUCCAAAAGAGGGGUGACGGCGUGCUUUUUGCAUAAU